UAGCUGGUUCUCCCCGAAAUAGCUUUAGGGCUAGCCUCAGGUAACACAUGGAGACGGUAGAGCACUGAUCGGGUAAGGGAGCGUAAAGCUUACCGAGCCUAGUCAAACUGCGAAUGGCUUCAUGAGAAGAGCCUGGGAGUCAGAAUGCGAGUGAUAAGACCCGUAUUCAAAAGGGAAACAGCCCAGACCGCCGACUAAGGUCCCGAAUGCUGUACUAAGUGGAAAAGGAUGUAGGACUUCCAAAACAACCAGGAUGUUGGCUCAGAAGCAGCCACCAUUCAAAGAGUGCGUAAUAGCUCACUGGUCGAGAGGCCCUGCGCCGAAAAUAUCCGGGGCUCAAGUACAGAACCGAAGUUGCGGCAUGCGCAAGCAUGGGUAGGGGAGCGUUCCAAGUUGGUUGAAGGCAGACCGGAAGGACGGCUGGACGACUUGGAAGUGAGAAUGCUGGUAUGAGUAGCGAAACGAUCCGUGAGAAUCGGAUCCACCGAAAGCCUAAGGGAUCCUGAGCAACGCUCGUCGACUCAGGGUAAGUCGGGACCUAAGCCGAGGCAUAAAGCAUAGGCGAUGGACAACAGGCGAAAAUUCCUGUACUGCAUGAUGUUGUUUGAGGAUGGAGUGACACAGCAAGGAGCUUGAGCGCGCGACUGGAAAUGCGCGUCGAAGGCGGUAGGCUGUAGGAGAGGCAAAUCCCUCCUGCAAGGCCGAGAACUGAUAGAUAGGAGCGUACCUCGGUACAAUCCAAAUUCAAGCGUACUACACUGUCGAGAAAAGCUUCUAACGAGACAUCAUGUACCCGUACCAAAACCGACACAGGUAGGCGGGGAGAGAAUCCUAAGGUGCGCGGGAAAACCCUCGUUAAGGAACUCGGCAAAAUGCAUCCGUAACUUCGGGAGAAGGAUGGCCGGAGCUGGUGAAGACCUUACGGUUGGAGCUGGAGCCGGCGGCAGAAGAGAAGCCCAAGCGACUGUUUACCACAAACACAGGUGCCUGCUAAAGAGAAAUCUGACGUAUAGGUGCUGACACCUGCCCGGUGCUGGAAGGUUAAGAGGAGAGGUUAUUCGCAAGAAGAAGCUUUGAAUUGAAGCCCCAGUAAACGGCGGCCGUAACUAUAACGGUCCUAAGGUAGCGAAAUUCCUUGUCGGGUAAGUUCCGACCCGCACGAAAGGUGUAACGACUUGGGCACUGUCUCAACGAGGGACCCGGUGAAAUUGAAAUACCUGUGAAGAUGCAGGUUACCCGCGACUGGACAGAAAGACCCCAUGGAGCUUUACUGCAGCCUGACAUUGAUUUUUGGCAUGUAACGUACAGGAUAGUUGGGAGACGGAGAAGAUAGGCCCCCAGGCUUAUCAGAGUCGCUGUUGGGAUACCAACCUUUAUGUGCUAGGGAUCUAACUCGAGAAGUAACGAAGCUGAGGACAGUAUCAGGUGGGCAGUUUGACUGGGGCGGUCGCCUCCGAAAGAGUAACGGAGGCGUCCAAAGGUUCCCUCAGCGCGGACAGAAAUCGCGCGAAGAGUAUAAAGGCAGAAGGGAGCUUGACUGCGAGACAUACAGGUCGAGCAGGUACGAAAGUAGGGCUUAGUGAUCCGGUGGAAUGAGAGUGGAAUUGCCAUCGCUCAACGGAUAAAAGCUACCCUGGGGAUAACAGGCUAAUCUCUCCCAAGAGUCCAUAUCGACGGGGAGGUUUGGCACCUCGAUGUCGGCUCAUCACAUCCUGGGGCUGAAGCAGGUCCCAAGGGUUGGGCUGUUCGCCCAUUAAAGUGGUACGUGAGCUGGGUUCAGAACGUCGUGAGACAGUUCGGUCCAUAUCCAUCGCGGGCGCAAGAUACAUGAGGGAGACUGCUCCUAGUACGAGAGGACCGGAGUGGACGGACCGCCGGUGUACCAGUUGUUUCGCCAGAAGCACAGCUGGGUAGCUGCGUCCGGAAGGGAUAAACGCUGAAAGCAUCUAAGCGUGAAGCCCGUCCCGAGAUGAAGUAUCUCAUAGCACAAGCUAGUAAGACACCUUGAAGAAGACAAGGUUGAUAGGGUAGAUGUGGGAGUGCUGCAAGGCAUGAAGCUGACUACUACUAAUAUGUCGAGGGCUUAACUAG
rnacentral:rRNA from 1 species